rnacentral:rRNA from 1 species
UAAUACGUAGGGGGCAAGCGUUGUCCGGAUUUAUUGGGCGUAAAGAGCGUGUAGGCGGCCUGGUAGGUCGGUUGUGAAAACUGGAGGCUUAACCUUCAGACGUCGACCGAAACCCCCAGGCUAGAGUCCGGAAGAGGAGAGUGGAAUUCCUGGUGUAGCGGUGAAAUGCGCAGAUAUCAGGAAGAACACCCGUGGCGAAGGCGGCUCUCUGGGACGGUACUGACGCUGAGACGCGAAAGCGUGGGGAGCGAACAGG